CACGUAGGGCGCAAGCGUUGUCCGGAAUUAUUGGGCGUAAAGAGCUCGUAGGUGGUUUGCUGCGUCCGCUGUGAAAACCCAAGGCUUAACCUUGGGCUUGCAGUGGAUACGGGCAGACUAGAGGUAGGUAGGGGAGAAUGGAAUUCCCGGUGUAGCGGUGAAAUGCGCAGAUAUCGGGAAGAACACCCGUGGCGAAGGCGGCUCUCUGGGACGGUACUGACGCUGAGACGCGAAAGCGUGGGGAGCGAACAGG
rnacentral:rRNA from 1 species